rnacentral:rRNA from 1 species
GAUGAACGCUGGCGGCGUGCCUAAUACAUGCAAGUCGAGCGCACAGACGAGGAGCUUGCUCCUCUGACGUUAGCGGCGGACGGGUGAGUAACACGUGGAUAACCUACCUAUAAGCCUGGGAUAACUUCGGGAAACCGGAGCUAAUACCGGAUAAUAUAUUGAACCGCAUGGUUCAAUAGUGAAAGACGGUUUUGCUGUCACUUAUAGAUGGAUCCGCGCUGCAUUAGCGAGUUGGUAAGGUAACGGCUUACCAAGGCAACGACGCGGAGCCGACCUGAGAGUGUGAUCGCCCACUCUGAACCUGAGACGCCGCCCACUCUCCUACGGGGGGGCGGUGGAGGGAAUUUGCCGCAAGGGGCGAAACCCUGAGGGAGCAACGCCGCGAGAGUGAUGAAGGUCCUCGGAGCGUAAAACUCUUUUAUGAGAAAAGAACAAAUGUGUAAGUAACGAUGCACGUCUUGACGGGACCUAAUCAGAAAGCCACGGCUAAUUACGU